rnacentral:rRNA from 1 species
CCCUUAGAUGUUCUGGGCCGCACGCGUGCUACACUGAGUGGAUCAGCGGGUCAGGUUGCGCGAAAGUGUUUCCUAAUCUUGAAAUCCGCUCGUGAUGGGGAUUGACGGUUGCAAUUUUCCGUCAUGAACGAGGAAUACCUUGUAAGCGCGGGUCAUCAUCCCGCGCUGAAUACGUCCCUGCCCUUUGUACACACCGCCCGUCGCUCCUACCGAUUGAGUGGUCCGGUGAGGCUUUGGGAUCUGAGCAAAAAGAGCGUUUCGCUCGUUUGGCUCGGAAAACUCAGUCGAACCUUAUCAUUUAGAGGAAGGAGAAGUCGUAACG